CUCUUGAACGCAAAUUGCGGCCGUAGGCUUGCCUAUGGCCACGUCUGGCCGAGGGUCGGCUUAUAAACUAUCACGACGCGUAAAAAGUCGUGGCUUGGAAGGUUGCCGGCGGGCGUUAAACUCUUAUUCAGUUCGAGAGAAGCCUGACAGCGACGGCUCCUUCUUAAUGUGGCUAUAUAAAGCACCAGUUGCCUUGUUAACGCGAAGCUUAUGGUAAUGUGUGUGUGUGUGCAUGUAAGUGUACAGUGCAUACAAGCCUUGCAUUAUUCUGUGUCUGUGUGUGUAAAAUGCUGGCUACAUUGGCCGUGGCUCAGUGUGUGUAUUUUUGUAGAGUAGCACGCCUGUUUCCAGCAUUGAUGCAAUGACUUGUAAGCUUGUGCACGAAUUGCUAUAAGCCUGAGUGUGAGGUGACGACCCAUUUGUAAACAUGGAGAGGGCUUCUUUCCAUUG
rnacentral:rRNA from 1 species